CCUACGGGAGGCAGCAGUAGGGAAUAUUGCUCAAUGGGGGAAACCCUGAAGCAGCAAAGUCGCGUGGAGGAUGACGGUUUUCGGAGUGUAAAACCCUUUUGGUAGAGAAGAUAAUGACGGUAUCUAACGAAUAAGCACCGGCUAACUCCGUGCCAGCAGCCGCGGUAAUACGGAGGGUGCAAGCGUUACCCGGAAUCACUGGGGGUAAAGAGCGCGUAGGCGGGAUAGCAAGUCAGAUGGGAAAUCCUAUGGCGUAACCAUAGAACUGCAUUUGAAACUGUUAUUCUAGAGUAUGGGAGAGGUAGGUGGAAUUCUUGGUGUAGGGGUAAAAUCCGUAGAGAUCAAGAGGAAUCCUCAUUGCGAAGGCGACCUGCUAGAACAUAACUGACGCUGAUGCGCGAAAGCGUGGGGAGCAAACAGGAUUAGAUACCCGGGUAGUC
rnacentral:rRNA from 1 species